CGCGUAGGCGGUCUUGUAAGUCGGAUGUGAAAGACCUUGGCUCAACCAAGGAAUGGCAUCCGAUACUGCGAGGCUUGAGGCCGAGAGGGGCAAGCGGAACUCCUGGUGGAGCGGUGAAAUGCGUAGAUAUCAGGAGGAACACCGGUGGCGAAGGCGGCUUGCUGGAUCGGUUCUGACGCUGAGGCGCGAAAGCCAGGGGAGCAAACGGGAUUAGAUACCCCGGUAGUCCUGGCCGUAAACGAUGGGCACUGGGUAGUGGGAACUAUCUAUGGUUCUCGCUGCCGUAGCUAAUGUGUUAAGUGCCCCGCCUGGGGAGUAUGCUCGCAAGGGUAAA
rnacentral:rRNA from 1 species